rnacentral:rRNA from 1 species
ACUAUUAUGAGCUUUAUAUUGUUAGUAUAUAAAUAUUAUGAAAACAAAAAAUUAUGGCGGUACUUUAAGCUUUUCAGAGGAAUUUGCUCUUUAAUGGAUAAAACGCCUGGCUCUUACUAAAAUUAGUUAAAUCAGUUUGUAUACCACUAUAAAAGUAAUAUUUAAUAAUUAUUACUUUAAUUGUAUUCAAAUAUAAAUAAAUUAAGUCAUGGUGCAGCAUAAAUUUUAGGAUGAAGUGAAUUACAUUUUUUUUUAAAAAAUAUUUUUUAAAAAAAAGAAAUUAGGAUUUGAAAUUAAAAAUUUAAUAGAAUGAAAUUUUGAAAAAAGCUCUAAAGUAUGUAC